UACGUAGGGGGCAAGCGUUGUCCGGAAUCAUUGGGCGUAAAGAGCGUGUAGGCGGUUCGGUAAGUCCGCUGUAAAAGUCCAGGGCUCAACCCUGGAAAGCCGGUGGAAACUGUCGAACUAGAGUCCGGAAGAGGCGGGUGGAAUUCCUGGUGUAGCGGUGAAAUGCGCAGAUAUCAGGAAGAACACCCGUGGCGAAGGCGGCUCUCUGGGACGGUACUGACGCUGAGACGCGAAAGCGUGGGGAGCGAACAGG
rnacentral:rRNA from 1 species